rnacentral:rRNA from 1 species
CCUACGGGGGGCUGCAGUGGGGAAUAUUGCGCAAUGGGCGAAAGCCUGACGCAGCGACGCCGCGUGAGGGAUGAAGGUCUUCGGAUCGUAAACCUCUGUCAGCAGGGAAGAACGGUCACUGUGCUAAUCAGCAGUGAAUUGACGGUACCUGCAAAGGAAGCACCGGCUAACCCCGUGCCAGCAGCCGCGGUAAUACGGAGGGUGAGAGCGUUAAUCGGAAUUACUGGGCGUAAAGCGCUCGUAGGCGGUAUGUCAAGUCAAGGGUGAAAUCCCCGCUCUUAACGUGGGAACUGCCUUUGAAACUGGCAAGCUGGAGUGUGUGAGAGGAUAGUGGAAUUGCAGGUGUAGGAGUGAAAUCCGUAGAUAUCUGGAGGAACAUCAGUGGCGAAGGCGACUAUCUGGCACAUAACUGACGCUGAGGAGCGAAAGCGUGGGUAGCAAACAGGAUUAGAUACCCCGGUAGUC